rnacentral:pre_miRNA from 1 species
GAUUUCAACUGAAAAAGUCAUCAACAACAAAGAUGUAUAACUCAUCAAGAUCUAUAACUUUUAUUUCAGUCAUUUCUUCAUCUGACAAAGUGAUAGUAACAUUGUUCACAAAAUUCACAUAUCUCUUAUUUGGUUUAUAGACUAUAACACAUAUAUGUCAAUUUUGUGAACAAUGUUAAUAACACUUUGUCGGAUGAAUAAAUAACAAACAUAAAAGUUAUAGAUCUUGAUGAGUUAUACAAUUUUAUUAUUGAUGGCUUUUUAAUUGAUAUC